rnacentral:rRNA from 1 species
UACGAAGGGGGCUAGCGUUGUUCGGAUUUACUGGGCGUAAAGCGCACGUAGGCGGAUCGUUAAGUCGAGGGUGAAAUCCCAGGGCUCAACCCUGGAACUGCCUUCGAUACUGGCGAUCUUCGAGUCCGGGGAGAGGUGAGUGGAACUCCGAGUGUAGAGGUGAAAUUCGUAGAUAUUCGGAAGGAACACCAGUGGCGAAGGCGGGCUCACUGGCCCGGUACUGACCGCUGAG